GGGCUUGUGGUUCAUCGGCAGAACGUCUCGUUCACGAGAAAAUCUGAAAAUCGAGAAGGUACAAGGUUCAAUUCCUUGCAGGCCCA
rnacentral:tRNA from 1 species